AUGGGGCGGCGCGGCUGGGGCGCGAGUUGUCUAGCCCUGGAACCCCGCGGGGUCCUAGACAACAGCGUCUUUGCGGCGUGGGCCCCUUUCUGCGGCUCCUCCUCCUGCGCGCUGUCGGCUCCGGGCCACUGGGGCUUCGAAGGGCGCCAGUUCCCUGCCCCACUUGCACGCCUAGGAGGGCGCAGGCCGCGUGUCCCUGUGGGUGGAAAGCCCCGGCAGCUUGCAAAGACCUCACGUCACAGAAACUUGCGACAUUUGCCCCCGAUGCGCGCGUCAGGUGCUCCGUCCCUUCCAGGUGGCAGAGGAGAGGGAAGGGUCCCGCCUGGUGGGGCCCUGAGAGCCAAUGGGCUGCGGUGCGCGAGUGUGGACGCCGCCCCCGCCUUCUGCGUCUACAACCCGGGGUUCUGGGACCUUUGGAAACCGCUUUGGACGAAGCUGAGCAUCUCUUUCCCCACGCUGACCUCCCCCAUAGACUCUGGAUGGGGGCAAAUGAGGCCCCAGGAAACCGAAACAAUGAGCCAGCAGGCAAUGAAAAGGGCAGGCCCACCCCAGGCCAGCUUCAAAGAAAUCCAGAAAGUUCACUCUAGAGAAGCUUGUUUGGCCAAACCUUGCUUUGGGUGGUGA
ensembl:lncRNA